rnacentral:ncRNA from 1 species
GAAUUGCGCAAGGGGUGCCCGUUUGUGGUUUUCUAGCAUUGACGAUGGUUUUUUAUAUCGUCCUUGUUGGAAGAGAUUCAAUCGAGCUGAGAUCAUACCCUAACGACCAGAUAAGGAUAAUGCCUGCGAUGGGAAAUACGCGCUCUUCGUUUA